AGGGUUGUGACUCAGCGGUAGAGUGCUCACCUCACACGUGUGACACCCUGGGUUCAAUCCUCAGCACUA
rnacentral:tRNA from 1 species